rfam:Prevotella sp. CAG:1058 genomic scaffold, scf57
UACCUUUGCAACAUUGAUUGGUUCACACCAUCGUGAUUAAAAGGGAAACGGGUGAGAAUCCCGUACAGUCCCGCUGCUGUGAGCUGUCAUUGUUGAGACGGACACAUAAAAGCCACUGGCACAUUUUUCAGCCGGGAAGGCCGUCCCUCUUGCGACAGCGAAGUCAGAAGACCUGCCGUCAAUUAAUGUUUAAU